GAUGAACGCUAGCGACAGGCUUAACACAUGCAAGUCGAGGGGCAGCAUAAAAGUAGCAAUACUUUGGUGGCGACCGGCGCACGGGUGAGUAACGCGUAUGCAACCUACCUAUCAGAGGGGAAUAACCCGGCGAAAGUCGGACUAAUACCGCAUAAAACAGGGGCACCGCAUGGUGAUAUUUGUUAAAGAAAUUCGCUGAUAGAUGGGCAUGCGUUCCAUUAGGUAGUUGGUGAGGUAACGGCUCACCAAGCCGACGAUGGAUAGGGGGAACUGAGAGGUUUAUCCCCCACACUGGAACUGAGACACGGUCCAGACUCCUACGGGAGGCAGCAGUGAGGAAUAUUGGUCAAUGGAGGCAACUCUGAACCAGCCAAGUCGCGUGAAGGAUGAAGGUCUUAUGGAUUGUAAACUUCUUUUGCAAGGGAAUAAAGUGGGGACUGUCCUCCUUUGCAUGUACCUUGCGAAUAAGGAUCGGCUAACUCCGUGCCAGCAGCCGCGGUAAAACG
rnacentral:rRNA from 1 species